rnacentral:rRNA from 1 species
AUAACGACUCUCGGCAACGGAUAUCUCGGCUCUCGCAUCGAUGAAGAACGUAGCGAAAUGCGAUACUUGGUGUGAAUUGCAGAAUCCCGUGAACCAUCGAGUCUUUGAACGCAAGUUGCGCCCGAAGCCAGUAGGCUGAGGGCACGCCUGCCUGGGCGUCUCACA